AGUCAAGUAAUUAAGUGCAUGUGGUGGAUGCCUUGGCAGUCAGAGGCGAUGAAAGACGUGAUAGCCUGCGAAAAGCUCCGGGGAGGCGGCAAAUAUCCUUUGAUCCGGAGAUGUCUGAAUGGGGGAACCCACCUACUUUAAGGUAGGUAUUGCAACAUGAAUACAUAGUGUUGCAAGGCGAACGAGGGGAAGUGAAACAUCUCAGUACCCUUAGGAAAAGAAAAUCAAUUGAGAUUCCCUCAGUAGCGGCGAGCGAACGGGGAUCAGCCCAUUAAGUUAUGUGUGUUUUAGUGGAACGCUCUGGGAAGUGCGAACGUAGAGGGUGAUAUUCCCGUACACGAAAGGGCACACAUAAUGAUGACGAGUAGGGCGAGGCACGUGAAACCUUGUCUGAAUAUGGGGGGACCAUCCUCCAAGGCUAAAUACUCCUGACUGACCGAUAGUGAACCAGUACCGUGAGGGAAAGGCGAAAAGAACCCCUGUGAGGGGAGUGAAAUAGAUCCUGAAACCGCAUGCAUACAAGCAGUGGGAGCACCUUCGUGGUGUGACUGCGUACCUUUUGUAUAAUGGGUCAGCGACUUAUAUUCAGUAGCGAGGUUAACCGUAUAGGGGAGCCGUAGAGAAAUCGAGUCUUAAUAGGGCGUUUAGUUGCUGGGUAUAGACCCGAAACCAGGCGAUCUAUCCAUGAGCAGGUUGAAGGUUGGGUAACACUAACUGGAGGACCGAACCCACUGUCGUUGAAAAGCCAGGGGAUGACUUGUGGAUAGGGGUGAAAGGCUAAUCAAGCCUGGUGAUAGCUGGUUCUCCCCGAAAGCUAUUUAGGUAGCGCCUCGGACGAAUACCAUAGGGGGUAGAGCACUGUUUCGGCUAGGGGGUCAUCCCGACUUACCAAACCGAUGCAAACUCCGAAUACCUAUGAGUACUAUCCGGGAGACAGACUGCGGGUGCUAACGUCCGUAGUCAAGAGGAAAACAAUCCAGACCGCCAGCUAAGGCCCCAAAAUCAUAGUUAAGUGGGAAACGAUGUGGGAAGGCAUAGACAGCUAGGAGGUUGGCUUAGAAGCAGCCACCCUUUAAAGAAAGCGUAAUAGCUCACUAGUCGAGUCGGCCUGCGCGGAAGAUGUAACGGGGCUAAAACUAUGUGCCGAAGCUGCGGAUGUAUACUUUGUAUACGUGGUAGGGGAGCGUUCUGUAAGCCGAUGAAGGUGUGUUGAGAAGCAUGCUGGAGGUAUCAGAAGUGCGAAUGCUGACGUGAGUAACGACAAAACGGGUGAAAAACCCGUUCGCCGAAAGACCAAGGGUUCCAGUCCAACGUUAAUCGGGGCUGGGUGAGUCGACCCCUAAGGCGAGGCCGAAAGGCGUAGUCGAUGGGAAAAUGGUUAAUAUUCCAUUACUUCUGUGUAAUGCGAUGAGAGGACGGAGAAGGCUAAAUCAGCCUGGCGUUGGUUGUCCAGGUGAAAGGAAGUAGGCAUGUAUCUUAGGCAAAUCCGGGGUACUCUAUGCUGAGAUCUGAUAGCAAGCUGUACUUGUACAGCGAAGUGGUUGAUGCCAUGCUUCCAGGAAAAGUCUCUAAGCUUCAGUUACACAGGAAUCGUACCCGAAACCGACACAGGUGGUCAGGUCGAGUAGACCAAGGCGCUUGAGAGAACUCUGCUGAAGGAACUAGGCAAAAUGGUACCGUAACUUCGGGAGAAGGUACGCUGUUGUUGGUGAUGGAACUCGCUUCCUGAGCUGACGACAGCCGCAGAAACCAGGCCGCUGCAACUGUUUAUUAAAAACAUAGCACUCUGCAAACACGAAAGUGGACGUAUAGGGUGUGAUGCCUCCCCGGUGCUGGAAGGUUAAUUGAUGGGGUUAGCGUAAGCGAAGCUCUUGAUCGAAGCCCCAGUAAACGGCGGCCGUAACUAUAACGGUCCUAAGGUAGCGAAAUUCCUUGUCGGGUAAGUUCCGACCUGCACGAAUGGCAUAAUGAUGGCGGCGCUGUCUCCAGCAGAGGCUCAGUGAAAUCGAAAUCGCUGUGAAGAUGCAGUGUACCCGCGGCUAGACGGAAAGACCCCGUGAACCUUUACUGCAGCUUGACACUGAACUUUGACCUUACUUGUGUAGGAUAGGUGGGAGGCUUUGAAGCUGGAACGCUAGUUCCAGUGGAGCCGUCCUUGAAAUACCACCCUGGUAAUGUUGAGGUUCUAACUCUGUCCCGUGAUCCGGGACGAGGACCGUGUCUGGUGGGUAGUUUGACUGGGGCGGUCUCCUCCUAAAGAGUAACGGAGGAGUACGAAGGUGCGCUCAGCGUGGUCGGAAAUCACGCGUAGAGUAUAAAGGCAAAAGCGCGCUUAACUGCGAGACCCACAAGUCGAGCAGGUACGAAAGUAGGUCUUAGUGAUCCGGUGGUUCUGUAUGGAAGGGCCAUCGCUCAACGGAUAAAAGGUACUCUGGGGAUAACAGGCUGAUACCGCCCAAGAGUUCAUAUCGACGGCGGUGUUUGGCACCUCGAUGUCGGCUCAUCUCAUCCUGGGGCUGAAGCAGGUCCCAAGGGUAUGGCUGUUCGCCAUUUAAAGAGGUACGCGAGCUGGGUUUAGAACGUCGUGAGACAGUUCGGUCCCUAUCUACCGUGGGCGCUGGAAAUUUGAGAGGAUCUGCUCCUAGUACGAGAGGACCAGAGUGGACGAACCUCUGGUGUACCGGUUGUGACGCCAGUCGCAUCGCCGGGUAGCUAUGUUCGGAAGGGAUAACCGCUGAAAGCAUCUAAGCGGGAAGCCUACCUCAAGAUAAGAUUUCCCUAGGACUUUAUGUCCUCUAAAGAGCCGUUCGAGACUAGGACGUUGAUAGGUUGGAUGUGGAAGCAUAGUGAUAUGUGAAGCUGACCAAUACUAAUUGCUCGUGAGGCUUGACUAUACAACACCC
rnacentral:rRNA from 1 species